rnacentral:rRNA from 1 species
ACGUAGGUGGCGAGCGUUGUCCGGAAUUAUUGGGCGUAAAGGGCGUGUAGGCGGGUGUCUAAGUCAUCUUUGAAAGUGCCGGGCUUAACUCGGGGGUGGGAUUUGAAACUGGGUGGCUAGAGUGCAGGAGAGGGAAGCGGAAUUCCUAGUGUAGCGGUGAAAUGCGUAGAUAUUAGGAGGAACACCAGUGGCGAAGGCGGCUUUCUGGACUGUAACUGACACUGAGGCGCGAAAGCGUGGGGAGCAAACAG